rfam:Wallemia ichthyophaga EXF-994 unplaced genomic scaffold scaffold2, whole genome shotgun sequence.
GGUUUUGUAGUGUAGCGGUUAUCACCGUGGAUUUUGAUGCAAAGACUUCCAUUAACCCCGGUUCGAAUCCGGGCAAGACCU